CCCCCCCUCCCCCUAGCCGUCAUUUGGUACCCUGGGGCGCCCACCUCCCCCUCUGGUCGACCUCCCCCAUGCCUGCCCUGCUGCAGACCUGGGAAGAAGAAGGGAAGGAGAAGAAAGGGAAAGAAGGAAGCGGAGGAAAUCGAGGUGAAGAUGGAAAUGUGGGGUUUGAUUACCCGCCGCCCAUGGAGGCCUAGUCUUUUCAGGUACUUGCUGUGACGUAUUUGCAUGAAGGGAUGGGAUUAGCUACAUUGUCGCACGACAUGAUCUCACUUAGUCAUGAUUAUUGUAAUAUGUUGAUAAGAUUACUUAGUCAUUGAUUAGCUCCUUUUUCAAGUCUAUCCCUAUAUGUCAGUCAAUUGUUGUAUCAUUACCUUAAUCUAUAUGUUGAUGCUUCCAAAAUGUUUUCUUGUCUAAGGUAGUUGUUGCCGAAA